GGCUGGGGACGGGCACCAAUUCAUCACUGCCCUGCUCAGGGAGGUUUUCCGGCCCCGUCCGGGCUUCACCCAACGGCUGCAAAGGUGCUCGUGCGGCAUCCGAGCUCAUUUCCAGGGAUAAAGGAGCCAAACGAGUCCGGAGGGAUCCCUCGCUCCGAGGCAAAGGCGUUUGGUCGAGUGUCGCCGCCUGGUCCCGCCUGCGGGGGAGCGUCUCCUCCAGGUUCUCUUAGAAAGAUCCUGGACAGGAACUCAGACAACAGAACCCAAACACUGCACAAGCAAUAGCAGAAGGUUUGCCAGGAAGAACAGAAGUUCCUUGUUUUCCUUAACGCUCUGGGACUGUAGGACCCAAUCUUUGCAACCAAGGGACACCAGAGAUGUGAUUAAUACUUAAACCUCUCCCCCAUGGUUCUGUCUCAGAGAACUGGGCCAGCCCUGAGCUACUCCCAGGUGCCUGCAGUGCUUUGGGGAGGGGCAGGACAAUGUCCCACUUCUGCUUGGAAACAUUCCAGAUGAGGAAAAGCCACUUCCCUUCUCUCUCUCUGACCCAGAACCAGAACAGUCCUGUGGGACAACACGGACUAUGCACGGAAGGCCCGAGUCAGUGGGGGGAAAAAAACCUAAACAAACCAAACCACCCCAAAUUUCAAGAUCAAAACAGGCUGCUUCCUUAACAGGAGCACACCAAACUCAUUGAAGCCAGAGAGGAAAUUACAAACAAACAGAAGACCCAAAGAGAUGCUUUGCACUGA